rnacentral:rRNA from 1 species
GAUGAACGCUAGCGGCAGGCCUAAUACAUGCAAGUCGAACGGUAAGGCCCUUUCGGGGGUACACGAGUGGCGGACGGGUGCGUAACGCGUAUGCAACAUGCCUUCCAGCGGGGGAUAUACCAGGGAAACUUGGCGCAAUACCCCAUAGAAUUACGGGUCCGCAUGGUCUUGUGAUUAAAACUCCGGUGCUGGGAGAUUGGCAUGCGUGACAUUAGCUAGUUGGCGGGGUAACGGCCCACCAAGGCGACGAUGUCUAGCUGGUCUGAGAGGAUGAUCAGCCACACUGGGACUGAGACAGGCCCAGACUCCUACGGGAGGCAGCAGUAGGGAANAUUGGACAAUGGGGGGAACCCUGAUCCAGCCAUGCCGCGUGAGGGAGAAGGUCCUCUGGAUUGUAACCUACUUUUUGGCAGGAAACAAACCUGCGCUAUACGCGCA